AUUGAACGCUGGCGGCAUGCCUUACACAUGCGAGUCGAACGGCAGCACGGGUGCUUGCACCUGGUGGCGAGUGGCGAACGGGUGGGUAAUACAUCGGAACAUGUCCUGUAGUGGGGGAUAGCCCGGCGAAAGCCGGAUUAAUACCGCAUACGAUCUACGGAUGAAAGCGGGGGACCUUCGGGCCUCGCGCUAUAGGGUUGGCCGAUGGCUGAUUAGCUAGUUGGUGGGGUAAAGGCCUACCAAGGCGACGAUCAGUAGCUGGUCUGAGAGGACGACCAGCCACACUGGGACUGAGACACGGCCCAGACUCCUACGGGAGGCAGCAGUGGGGAAUUUUGGACAAUGGGCGAAAGCCUGAUCCAGCAAUGCCGCGUGUGUGAAGAAGGCCUUCGGGUUGUAAAGCACUUUUGUCCGGAAAGAAAUCCUUGGCCCUAAUACGGUCGGGGGAUGACGGUACCGGAAGAAUAAGCACCGGCUAACUACGUG
rnacentral:rRNA from 1 species